ACGGUUGGCAAUCGUGUGUAGAGUGUAAUGGCAUAAGGGAGCUUGACUGAGAGACCUACAAGUCGAUCAGGUACGAAAGUAGAGCAUAGUGAUCCGGUGGUUCCGUAUGGAAGGGCCAUCGCUCAAAGGAUAAAAGGUACUCCGGGAUAACAGGCUGAUCUCCCCCAAGAGUUCACAUCGACGGGGAGGUUUGGCACCUCGAUGUCGGCUCAUCGCAUCCUGGGGCGGUAGUACGUCCCAAGGGUUGGGCUGUUCGCCCAUGAAAGCGGUACGCGAGCUGGGUUCAGAACGUCGUGAGACAGUUCGGUCCAUAUCCGGUGUAGGCGUUAGAGUAUUGAAAGGAUCCUUCCUUAGUACGAGAGGACCGGGAAGGACAGACCUCUGGUGUACCAGUUAUCAUGCCAAUGGUAAACGCUGGGUAGCUAAGUCUGGCAAGGAUAACCGCUGAAAGCAUCUAAGUGGGAAGCCUACCUUGAGAUGAGUACUCUCA
rnacentral:rRNA from 1 species